CUUUCGUCCAGUGUGAUGGUGAGCAUCUGUUCAGCAGCAGAGCAGAGAGGAGAGGAGAUGCCGUUUUUAGACCAUUGCCUUAGAGCGAUGAUUCUCAACUGAUGCUUCGGGACACAUUAAUUAUGGGUCUUCCCCCUUGCAAGCCUGAAGAUCACGCAAGGGCUCCAUUCACUGAUUUGAAGAUGGUUUUGUUGAGCAUAUUCUACUGCUGUCAUUUUUACCUUCAAGACAUCCCAGAAAGCCACGUUGUUGUUGGUGUCUUUGGUAAGUAUGUGCCUCUUGUCAUUCAGAAUGUGACACUGUAUGAUACUUGCCCCUCCUGCAAAGGCAAUUGAGACGUUUCCACAUUGAACUGGGAAAGAGAGGCUGAGGAAAACCUCGUGCGACAUAAACAGGUUUACCUUUGAUGACUUGCUCUGACUGUGUGCACAGUGGCAUUAAAGGGGUGCUGCAGUCAUUAUCGUACUCCCCUGAUGAUCUGAAGUUGUGCAUUCCCUUGAGAGACUGUGGAGAUGGGCAUAUUCAGCAAAACUACACUGUACCAUGGCAUGCAAAAUUAACAACCACAUUAUUAAAAAAUGUCUCUGUAUGACAAACACAGAAUAUUUCUUAGAGCCCAAAACAAGUUGACAUGAAUUUAACUACACUGGAUUGUAGAGUCAUUCUGUUCAUAGGGGCGUUGCAUUAUGCAUGCCUACCCAUUUAUUAACAGAUGACUUGGUGGUGGAGACCCAGAUAGCAGGAGGCGGGUCGGCAGAUCUGUCCAGUUCCAUCUGUGCAAGGGGAAUAGAGGGGUAAGUUUGAAUGGAAGUGCAGUACACAUAAAGGAUUUACAACAGUUCUGUUCCUAUACUGCAGUGACAAAUUUAAUUUAAUCUAAUUCUACAUCAGGUCGCCUUUGAUACCAUGCACAAUCUUCCUCAAAUGGCCUGACGCAUCAAAGAAUGCUCCAAUUGAAUUUCGAAAUUAAUUAUGUAGAGGGCUUUUUAUUACGUGUGGUUAACUUUUUAUGCACAUUUCCAAUACUCGUUAGUAGCUUACAACCACUCUUAUGAACAUUGGGGAGUUCUGUGCUACUUAAGUUUUUUUUUUCAUACUUUUGCAAGUCUAAUUUUGGAGUUACACAUUAAGUGCGGUAAUAACAAGCUUGAAGCGAGCACGCUGUGACUCUUAUUUGGAGAAUGCACACGCCGAGGCGUACUUUGAAAUGUUCUCAUAAGUUUAGUGUAUUUUAAGACAAUACUGGGCAUAAGUUUGCAUGUGACAAUCAUUGGGUCUUUUUUUUUUUUUUAUAUCAAAACAAACAAUAGAUGGUGCAUUUAUUGUUUUGUUGUGGGACACUACUAACUAUUAUUCUUAUUUGAGUGUAUUCUUACUUUCAGCACUGGGGCCUUCUCUUCACAAAUGAGAACACGGAUGUCUGGGUUGCGCAGGUCGGUACAAUAAAUCUUCUUGUCUCGACCUCCAGAAUAGACAUGCGUAAAAGCCUCAUUGACCUGCAGGGCCCAAACGCCUUCGUCGUGCACACGGUACGUGGCAAUGCAUCGCUGCUGACCAAGGGACCACAGACGAAUUGUGCCAUCCGAACUGCCGGACAGGCACUGCAGGGCGGCAAAGCAGAAUAGUAAAAAAUGAAACGUUUUCAAAAUUAUGAAUCAAUUGAGAAAAAAAAAAGAAAAGUUAGAACAUUUUGUAAAUUUGAAAAGUUAUUCAAUAAACACGCUGAAGAGUUA